GAUGAACGCUAGCUACAGGCUUAACACAUGCAAGUCGUGGGGCGUCAUGAUGUAGUAAUACAUUGAUGGCGACCGGCGCACGGGCGAGUAACGCGUAUCCAACCUACCCUCCACUCAAGUAUAGGCUUCCGAAAGGGAGAUUAAUCCUUGAUAUCGUCAUUCUCUCUCCUGUUAGAAUGAUAAAAGGACAUCGUUUCGGUAGAGGAUGGGGAUGCGUUCCAUUAGGUAGUAGGUGGUUUAACAGGCCACCUAGCCGAUGAUGGAUAGGGGUUCUGAGAGGAAUAUCCCCCACACUGGUACUGAGAUACGGACCAGACUCCUACGGGAGGCAGCAGUGAGGAAUAUUGGUCAAUGGGCGCAAGCCUGAACCAGCCAUGUAGCGUGAAGGAUAACGGUUUUUUUGAUUGUAAACUUCUUUUCUGUGCGAUUAAAGUGUGGCAUUUAUGCCAUAAUUGCAGUAUCUUCAGGAAUAAAG
rnacentral:rRNA from 1 species